UCAUACCCAGAAGUAUGAAGAGAAUGAAGCUAGAGGAAGUAGUGGUUGGUGAGUCAGCAUGAGUAAUUUUGUUCCAAUGAGAAUGAAGACUGAGGGUUUUUUUUUCCCUCUUAAACAUUUUGGACAUCAUUGCUUAAUGGAGGGAAAUAAGCGAUAUUAUGUCUGUGUAGCUAGUACUUCUUGAUUUUUAAAUCAAAAGAAAAAAUAUUUAGAAUCUAGAUAUGUGUCUUCAUAGGCACCCUCCUCGUAGGAAAGUGAGGGGGAAAACAGCUCCUGCUUGUCCAGAUGAGAGAAAGCCACAUUGCAUUCUAUUGCAUCAUACAAUGCAAGUCGUGGGCUCACCAGCACAAUGAUUACUGUCCAGACACAGCUGAGAUUCAGAAGAGGCCCUUCCACACUCCAGCAGGAGCCUGGGAUUUCGAAUCGUCAUGGACUGGUCAAAGAAGAAGCGUUUCUGUGACGAACUUAGGGUGGACAUCCUGGAGACGGCCAACCAAAGGGGAAAGGAGUCUCAGCAAGUGGAAAGGCAGCAGAGCACUGGGGCAGAGCUGCGGUGUGGGAGGAGAGACUGCCUCUGGAGCAGGACUGCAGCAAAAAGACCUUUUUGAGGGGCUGCUUGCACUAAUGGCCACAAGGCUUCUGCCCCAUGUUCCGAGUGCCCUCCAGAGUGCCAUGUCUUGUGGGCCAGGAAUGCAUUGGACAAUACCAUGGUCCGAUGACCCCUGCUGCUUGGACAGGGUAAAUUACUCCUGGCAGUCCUCACCCCCUCGCAGCCCUCCAUGCACCUUCAGCAGCUCCACGUAGGUGGUAGAAAUGAGGAGGAGAAAGGGAGCUCUGGGCCAUGCAAAGGCUGCAGCACUUCGAACCCUUCCACCCGGUAGGAUAACACGGGCACUUCGUUUUUAUGGACUUCCAACUUCAGAGUCCGUGGCCUGCAGCUCGAAGAUUGGUUGCCUUGCCCGGCAAGUCGCUUGGGAGCCUGGGGUACAGACAAGGUAAUGGUGUGUUAGGAAUAUGAGGAACUGCUGGAUUUUAUAAGAAAGGAGCCCAAGGCUGCUGGAUUUGAGUUGGCUGCUGGCAUCUCCCUGCUAGGAGAGGCAGUUUUUGUUUUCGAAUGCUCCAGGAAGUGCUGGAAAACGUCUUGUUAAUUAGCUUCAUUUAAUAUACACAUUUUAACAGUCAAGGAACUUCAAAGCCGCUCUGACCAGAGCUAAGCCGAUGACACAUGCCUCAAGCAGCUUGUAACUGGAGCCUGAAUCUCAAGCAGAAUGGGAUAAAAUGGCUUUUCCCCUGGUCAGUCUGGGGGCAGGUUUGAGAUGAGCCAUUCCACCAAGGCAGGAAGACAUCACAGAAUCGUUCCUGGGGAAGCCUGGGGAGAGUGGUGAGGAAGAUGGGCACUAGCCUGACCCAGGUCUGCACUCUCAAUCCUAUGUCACUCAGGGGUGUGAAAAAUCCACCCCUGUGGGACAGCGGCAAGCCGGCCUCACCCCCACUGUAGGCUGCGCUAGGUCGAUGGAAGAAUUCUUCCACUGGCCUAGUGAUGCUCUCAGGAGGUGGAUUCCCUGUAGUGACAAGAGCACCCCUCUUGUCGCUGUAGCAAGCAGCUAUGCCAAAGCACUACAGCAGCACAGCUGUCACCUGGGUUCAACUCCCUGCUCUGCCACAGACUUUCCGUGUGACCCUGGGCAAGUCAUUUAGUUUCUUGGUGCCUCUGCUCCCCAUGUGUGAAGUGAGGAUACCAGCACUGCCCUGCCUCACAGGGACAUUGAGAGAAUAAAUAUAUUCUCGAUGGCGAAAUGUUCAAAUUCUGCGGUGGUGGGGCCCAGCUAACUGACAGGUAGAUAGAUAAGCACCGUGCUGCCAUCAUAGAAUGGUAACUCUGUAUUUUCUCUCUCUGUGGUACGACGAGAGAAGCGGUUGUUGUAGUAGCUAGGUACUAAGCAGGGUGAAAAAAGGGGACGAGAUGGGGCCCUGUCAGUGCUGCUUAGGAAUUCUGGGUGAUGCUAUGACAUUUGGUGUGACAGAUCCUGCAACCGCAUGCAAUAGCAAUAUUGUACUAAGUUAAUUAUCACUAUGGGACAGGGAUUGUUGCAACUUCAUGGGGCAGAAUUACCAGACUCCUCCAGGAACUAAACACGGGGGGUGUGAUUAAGGUGAGAUGCUGAGAGCAAACAAUGCUAGCAAGGCACCACUUCCUGACCUGGUUUGCAGAUCCUGCUUCACGCUGGGUUUCCCUGAGACUAGGAGAAGAAAGGGUUUUGGGUAUGAACUUGAAUUGACACAGAGCCUGCUGAUCCGGCAGCCGGACAGGACUGCCUGUCCAAGGGUUGGAAAGACUUUGUCCAACUAAAGCCCCGUGAGGCAAGGUGAGCUUUUCGCAUGUGUACAGGAACUCGGACUAGUUUUUAUGUUUUCUCUGUAAUGCUUUUCCCUGAAGAAUAAAUGUGCUUGCUUAGAAGGAGCUGGGUGGUAACUUCUGGCAAUACUCACCAUCGUCCUCGGAGCAAAAGCAACUCGCAGGCACCGGCUUUUAGGCAGACUGGCUUGCUGGGCAUAGCACAGUGGAAGACAAUGCCAUGCAGCAUGAAAACCUCUGGUCAGAAGGGAGAGAGAUGUGGGUCCCUGCCCAAAUGAGGUGAUGGCUGGGAGCCAGAAACCGUAAGUGGGUGCCCUCAAGGGACCACAGAGGGGAAAUAGGGGCACAGGUACGCUGAAAGUGUGACAAAUGUACUGUGAAAUUACCAUGCCUUGGAAAGCCUAUAGAUCUAUAUUGUGGCUGCACCAUUGCUGACUGACAGGACUGCAGUAGGCGUACACCAGAGACGGGACAAUAGGGGAGGCUUAAUGUUAAUGACAGUACUUUGACCAUACAAAAGUUAUGUGAAACAGUGACAGCAUUCUAGGGGGAAAGCAGGUUUAUCCAGCCUCAUUGAGGGGAAGGUUUUUUUGAGCUGAGGAAAGUUACCAAAGAGACAGAACACAGGAAGCCAAGUGUUGCAAGGGGAACAUAUAGAGAGCCCCAUGGAGGAACUGUGGGGCAUGGAGAGAAGAAGGGAGAAAGACUCCAUGAGGGAGAAGACAUCCAGCAAUGUAACAGCCUGCAUGCGGCAAGGAAUCCCAAGGGAAGGGGGACCUAGCGAGGUGCAGUGCGGGUAGGAGGUUUGGUUUUUAAAUGAUCUGUACACUCUUGUGUUUGAUAUGACGAGGUUAAAAAAGAAUUGUGUUAGAUUCUGGGUGAAGUGUCUCUUUAUUUAAAUGUUACCCUACUGCUGUGUUCCCCUGGUCACCCAGAAGGCUCCCACCCUGAGGUGGAGUUCCAGAGGAGCGUGUGUGAAGACAGGGCAGUCUGAUCGGCCAGGGGCUGAGCAGCAGGAUCCGCUCUUAGGAGGGAGUGUUUGACUGCAGGUCUGCACCCCAAGAUGGGGCCAGGGGCUGGAUGCUGCUCAGACUCAGAGGCUCGGCUCAACUCGGCUUCCCCUCCCAGCACUCCAGGGAGCACCUCACCAGAAACAGCACUGGCUUCUGCUCUUCGCCUUCUGGCAGCCUGCGUUUCCUUUCAUGUAAGCACUGUGGUUCCUUUAUUGUGGGCUGGCGUUGGCACGAGAGUGUUUCCCGCUGGACACGCGGGAGGUCGCACAGCAGCGCGUUCUGAGCUGAGACGGAGCAUUCCACAGCUUAGUAGCCAGCACUGGACACGCUCAGGUCGGCUCCUGAGUCUCGUGUGCUAUGUUUCUUCUUGCCAUGCCCUCAGUUAGCACAGUUGUCCCCUGCAUUAAUCUGGCUCAGCUGCCAGUGGGAUUUCACAGAUUAAUAGAUUUUUAGUCCAGAAGCGGCUAUCAUAAUAACCCAGCCUGACCACAAGUCCUAGAACGUCCCUGGCUUGAUUUCUGCUUUGGUGCCAAGAACUGUGCUUCAACCUAAUUGAUCUUUUAGAAGAAACUCCCAGUUUGGUUUUAAAAUUGCCAGUGAUUGAGAAUUCACUGCCAGCAGGGGAUGACUCUACCGAGGGGUUAACGUGUGCUUUGUUUCCAGUUUGUCUCCCUCCCACUUGCAGCCUUGGGAUCUUGUUGUACCUUUGUCUGCUAGACUGAAGAGCCACCUGUUAGCCUCGUGUAGCCACUUAGAGCCCAGUCAAUUUUCCCCUUAACCUAAGGCAGGUUCUCUAAUCCUUCAAUCAUCCCUGUGGCUCCUCUCCAAUUUAUCAAUAUCCCUCUUAAAUUGUGGACACCAGGAUUGGCACAGAAUUGCACCAGCGGUUGCAUCCGUGCCAAACACAGAGGUAAAAUCACCUCUCGCCGCCUACUCCAGAGUCCCCUGUUUAUACCUCCCAGGAUCCCAUUACCGUUUGGCCCCUGUGUUGCUCUUGGAGCUCAUGUUCAGCUGAUUCUCCACGUCGACCCCAAAGUCCUGGUCUGAAUCCCUGCUUCCCAGGCUAAUGUGUCCCCUCACCCUGGAGGUGUGGCCGACAUUCUUUGUUCCUAUUUAAACACGAAGGCCCAGAUGCUCUGAAGCAUUUAGGUGCCUAACUCCCCUGGGUCCAGUCCCCGCUGUGGAAGCCUGCACCUGUUAGCUGCACCUUUUACCAGCAAUGGUGCUGUUUCCUGAGUCCUGGGGCUUGAGCCCAUGUGAUUUCUCACAUGCUACCGCUGGCCUCCCCUGUGACAUUCAGCCCAUUGCUCAUACUUCUAAUGUUACUUCUCUUGAGAUGUGACAGCAAAGAACUCCCUUCGCCUCCUCCGGGUGAGCUCUGCUGCAUCAGACAGGUGAUCAGUUUCUCCUCCUACGCAUGUCACACUGGACUUUUAACUAAGGGGGGGGGUUAUUAAGUGUCACUUUUAGCCUUAUCAGGAUGAUUGCCAGCCGAGGGCCUCGUGAGCAGCUCUAGGUAUUUUGUAUCUUACUGAAGCUUUGUUAUCAACCAACCCAGGCUCAGUGCAGGUCAGUGAAUGAGGUGUCUGGGAGCUCGUCAGGACUCUGCUAGCAGGGCAGUCGUCCCAGCACAGAAAACACAGGAAAAGGCCAUCCAGCUCCUGAAGCAGCCCCAAGAGAUACAGCCCCAUCAGCUAGUCAACUGUCCCAGCUAGUGGAAGCCAAGACCUCCCUGACACAACUGUUGCCAGGGGCUGGGAGGGGCUCCAGUCAUUUUUUUUAUGAAUCGUCCUGCCUCAUUUCUCUCUCUCUCUUCACCUCUGUACGUCUCCGCAGUCCUGCUGCUGCUGGGGACAGCUCUCCAGAGAAUUCAUUGCAAGAGUCACUCUGCACAGCCAUCACCUCAGUCUCACGCUGGGGAGCAGCUCUCCUAUUCAGCAACAUUCAAGACCUGUAGCCCAGCCAGGACCACAGCAAUGUCCUUGAUGUCUGAGCAGGGCCUCUGACCGUGCUGCAGUGACUAUGGGUCUGUAACGAUGGGGGAGAACUGUAGCCAGAGCAGAGAGUGUUCAGUGGGGUGGAGGAUGGCAACAGCCCUUAACAUACAGGGGGACAGGUGAGUCAUCAAACCAUCAGCCCCAGGGGGUAGGCCCUGAACAGGACCGACAUCCACUGAAGCAGCUGAGUCUAGGAACAGGACCUGCAUGGCUCUCUCUGCCUCCUGCCAGAACCAGCUUUCAACCGUCUGCCCCCGACUGAGGGAUGUCCCUGGCUGGACAGGGGUUGCCUUUUCCAGCAACAGGUCCAAUUCACUCCCCUGUGCCUUCCUCCCUACUCCACAUUGAUCCCCAGGGCUUCCACAAGGCUUGCAGGAGAGGGGAUUCAGGUCUGCUGUCCAAACAGGGGCCCGUUCACCCCACAGUCAGGUUUGUGAGGAGCAAACCUUGAAAUAACUAGGGCUCUUGGCAGGUGGCUGAUGCUGCUCCAGGCUAGAAAGCAUUCUGCCUCUGGGGAUACGUUUUCAGCUUUGUGUAGUGCUCUGGAGUACAAGGGCAAACUCUGCUCCUUUGUACCAGGUCUUGCAGCUUCUGUGGCUAGUGCUAGAGCCAUGUUUCUGCACACAGACGGCGUGGCUCAGCAGUAAGAGCUUAGGGGAUGUUGCUUUCCCACCACCAUACAGCCAUUACAACCAAUUUUGGCAAACUCUGUGUGGAAUAUCCCUCUCCUUGGACCCACGCUGAGGUGCUUCCUAGGCCAUUCAGCUCAUAAACCCCCUGCCAGCUGUAGCCUGAGUGUCCAGGGAACAUUACCUGGCCGGGGAGAGUGAGCUAGCUACUGCUAGUCCGUUUUGUCUUGGUUUUAGCUUGACUCUUAGAUUGAUUUCACAGGACCCUGGCCAGUAGCCUCCUUUCCUUUUGCCUUAAGCCAGGCUCAGACACAGCUUGGCAUCCCUCAGUUGGUAGAGCCCCGAAGUCUCACCGUCGUGGCCUGCAUGCUGACUGCAGAGAAGGGCAGGCCUUGUCCCUCCGGGCUUUGCCAAGUGUCUCAGGCAUCACAGCCUCUGUCUGGCUCAACAGCAAAUCCGCUUUUGGCCAGGAAAUCACCCAGCUAGUGCUUGUAGGUCUGACCCCCACACUGGCAGGGCACCACCAGCCAAAACCUACUCAGAGCCCUUCCCAGAACCAAUUUAGCUCAGGUCAAAGUUCACAUUGUUUUUACUCUUCUCAUUCAGCUGAUUCUCCUAUGACUUCAGUCCCUCAUCUCAUCUCCCCGCUCAGUGUCCCUUUGCACAGUCUAUGCUGAGGCCCUUCACCCUGUACCUCCUUUACACAUUAUCUCUGGCUGCCUGCCUCUGUGCAAGCGACUUCCAAACCUGCCAGCUCAUGCCUGCCCUCGGCCCAUCAGUGCAUGCUUGCGGCUCUGUCCUCUCAGCCUGAAUGACCCCCGCCCCCUCAAUUCUCAUUUUUCAUCCACAAAAUGACUUCUCCCUGUCACCCCACAUGCUGGCUGUUGCCAACUCCUGUUCACCAUCUUCCACGUCUACUCCACACCCCAUGAUUCCUAUUGCUGGAAUGCUUUGCCAUGCCGGCAUCUUCUCUGCACCAGGGCUUGCUCCCUUCCUGCCUCUGCAUGUUACCUACCUCCAUCCUGCCACUUUCUGACACCUGUCACUGAUCACUUCACAUUCCCCAGCAAGGCCAAGCUCAGCAGCAUCCUUUCAAGAUCUUCCUUCACCCGUAUGGCUCAGGACUCACAUCACCCUCAUGCCCGUCCCUUCAAAGGCUCCCACAUAACCACGGUUUCCUUCUCCCACUUUUGGCUUUGGACUUUCGUACCUGAAACCCCUCAGGGCACCUCUGACAUUCCUAUUCCUCCCUACAAUCCACUGCCGAAAACCAAACACUGCCUCUUCCUUUGUUGUAUAAAAUCCUUGUCAUGGUCACUUGCAGUAUAAAAAAAUUUGAGACUCUAGUGCUGCCUCUCUGCAAGACGCUGGGACCCCCCGUGUUGCAGCCCCAUCCUUUCUUCACCUUCCUCCAGCCAACACGAUCUAGAAUUACUCCUGGAGCUAAAUUCAGGCUUUAGCUUGGUCAGGAGACUCCCCUGGGUGGAGCUCUGAGCCCUUGUAGUGCUCAGCAGGGACUUGGGCUGUGUCUAUCUUUGCUGUACAGGCCAUGCCUACCUAGGCUGCAUUUGAUUAUUUCCCCCCAGUGUAUGAACGUGCAGAUUUCAAAGUUGAAUCUUAGUCUCAUUUUCUGCCCAUCUUGCUCAUCACAAGAGCCCAUUUCUACUAAUUGUGUCCUCUAUGGCAUUCACAACUCCCGUAAAAUAAGUGUCAUGUACGAACAUUAUUGAUGCACUCUAGUCCCUCCCCUAGCUCAUUAUGGGCCUGUUCCAAACCCCACUGAACUAUCCUCCCACCUCCCAACCAGCUAUUUAAUUCCAUGCCAGUCCACGGGACAGAACGAGGGUGUUUGAUACUCCACGUGUGCAAGUGGAAGAGCAACGGCUGAAUGCAAACCCACACCUGACUUUGAGAGAGGCAGUGCCACUCGUUCCUCAGGUGAGGUUCUCAUCCACAGUGACGGCAGCAGUCUGUGUACAGAGAAGCGUGUGGGAAUUCAGUGUGCACCAUGGAAACAUUUAACAGAGACAUUCCCAGGGUAUGGUUGAAAUGUGGUAUGAAAAGUGUGCUCUUCCAACCUCCAUCGCCAAUAAGGACAUGGAAACUGCUUAAAUUACGCAAGGUUAAAAUGCCUGGGAAAGUGAGUGGUACCUGCACAGGUAUCAGUGACCGAUAAUUAAAGCCCCAUCUACAAUUCCAUACACCUUACCUCAGAAGAGCAUAAAAUGUUGAAUUUGAGCAAAAUAAUACUCAUCACAAAUAGAUGAAAGUUUUAUUUAUAUAAAAUUCAUUAACAUAAAAGAUUGCAUCUUAAAAAAAGAUCUGUAGCUAUGUACAGCAGUAUUGCACAAGUAACGUGGCAAUUACCCUGUCAAAAAUUCAUCAGUGCAAACCACAAGUAAGCCAGGGAAAUUGCAAUAAAAAUGCUACAUAUGCUGGGUCCUAUGAAACAAGUUAGUGAUUAAUCAGUACAUGAUCAGUGCUAUGUUUGUACCUGAUAAGGAGCUUUGCUACAGUAAUGAGUGGUCUUGAAACCAGGAUGCAAAAGUUUACUCUAAAAAUCCAAGUAGAAAGUAGUUCUAUAAAUAACUUGCAGGGGCUUCUUGUUUACGAGGUAACAGCCAUGUCCUGCACUAUGUAAACUGAGGAUAAGGUGUUUAAUAUCCCAAAAGAGGGUUAUUAUUGAGUUACCAGGAAGCACUAUCAAGUUAUCGAACUAAAAUCUACAGCAUAAUUUUUAAUUCUGGCAACUGGCUGAAGCAAUGAAGUGAGGCAGCCAGAUUCAGUAGGAGCACAGGGAGGGUGAAAUCUGAAGGCAGUGGAGAACGAGAAGGUGGGGGAUUGGCACAUUGUUCAGGUCUUGAAAAAGUGAGAAUACUGCACUUCAGUUUACUAAUAUGUUUGAAUAAGCUGCCCUUGGCCCCCUUGGGAUGAUAAUGUUUUGCUUAGACCAAUAAAGUUAUUUGUAACAAAUUAAUGCUUUGAGCUACAAAUUGAUUCUGGAUGUGGCUUUGGUGUUUGGCCGAGUUUGCAUCUCCAUAUCAUAUUUUACUUCAACUCUCUGCCUCUAUCUACGGUGCUGAAUCAUUGAGUCCAGAAAGUUAAAUGUGGCCGAAAUGGGGGAUUAAAUUGUGGAUACAAUUUUCAAGAGAGACUUUAGGCGCACAGAAACCCAAGUCCCCUGGACUUUGACUGAGGUACUCCACAGCCUCUUUUGAAAAUGGGACUUAGGAGCCUAAGUCACUUAGGCACUUUUACUCAGUAACUAAACGUUAUUGAUUGCACUGAAUUAGAAGACAGUGCUCUACACUGAUCAAUCACUAAUUCCAUAUAUACCAGUAAAAAUUCAUUAAAAACUUUACAGGAACUUAAAUAAGCAGAAAAUAAAUAUACAACAUUUCUACAAGUUACAGCAUUAUGGAACAGUAGAGUGCAUUAAUUACACAGAAAAAAGAAUCUACAGUAUUUACCAAGUUCAAUUCUAAAAAAGACUUAGAAAAACAGUAAUUUACUUUAUAUGCUGUACAAAACUUUACAUGACAUAGUAAGAAAAGAAAAAACAUUGCACACAGACAUUUGGCUCAGAUAAGAAUAAUAUGAUGCCCUAAUCUAAUAAAUACUCAAAUAUUUACAGUUAUUGAAGGAGAAAAAGCAUAAUACAGUAUCAUACAAGUUUUGUAGGAAAAAUUUGAAUCUGGUUUCUCCACAACCAAAGAAAAUUCUUCAGAAAGCCGUUUUGGCAGGGCAGAGUGUGGAUUGUAUGGAAUU